rnacentral:rRNA from 1 species
AUUGAACGCUAGCGGCAUGCCUUACACAUGCAAGUCGAACGAGCGGCGGACGGGUGAGUAAUAUAUCGGAACGUGCCCGGUAGCGGGGGAUAACUACUGGAAACAGGGCUAAUACCGCAUACUAUUGGAUCAGCCCAUAUGGGAUUAGCUAGUAGGUGGGGUAAAGGCUCACCUAGGCAACGAUCCGUAGCUGGUCUGAGAGGAUGACCAGCCACACUGGGAAUGAGACACGGCCCAUACUCCUACGGGAGGCAGCAGUGGGGAAUUGUGCACAAUGGGCGAAAGCCUGAUGCAGCCAUCCCGCGUGUAUGAUGAAGGCCUUAGGGUUGUAAAGUACUUUUAGCGGGGAGGCGGUAUCUGCAGAAUAAGCACCGGCUAACUACGUGCCAGCAGCCGCGGUAAUAC